GGGUGGCUCAGCAGUUGAGAGCACUUGUUCUUGCAGGAAACCUGGGUUCGAUUCCCAGCACCCA
rnacentral:tRNA from 1 species